UGCCGCGUGCAGGAUGAAGGCCUUCGGGUUGUAAACUGCUUUUGUAGGGAACGAAAAGACUCCUUCUAAUAAAGGGGGUCCAUGACGGUACCGUAAGAAUAAGCACCGGCUAACUACGUGCCAGCAGCCGCGGUAAUACGUAGGGUGCGAGCGUUAAUCGGAAUUACUGGGCGUAAAGCGUGCGCAGGCGGUUAUGUAAGACAGAUGUGAAAUCCCCGGGCUCAACCUGGGAACUGCAUUUGUGACUGCAUAGCUAGAGUACGGUAGAGGGGGAUGGAAUUCCGCGUGUAGCAGUGAAAUGCGUAGAUAUGCGGAGGAACACCGAUGGCGAAGGCAAUCCCCUGGACCUGUACUGACGCUCAUGCACGAAAGCGUGGGGAGCAAACAGGAUUAGAUACCCUGGUAGUCCACGCCCUAAACGAUGUCAACUGGUUGUUGGGUCUUCACUGACUCAGUAACGAAGCUAA
rnacentral:rRNA from 1 species